CGACAGGUGCUGCAUGGCUGUCGUCAGCCCGUGUCGUGAGAUGUGGGUUAAGUCCCGCAACGAGCGCAACCCUUAUCUUUAAUUGCCAGCAUUCAGUUGGGCACUUUAAUGAGACUGCCGGUGACAAACCGGAGGAAGGUGGGGAUGACGUCAAGUCCUCAUGGCCCUUAUAGGUGGGGCUACACACGUCAUACAAUGGAUGGUACAAAGGGUCGCCAACCCGCGAGGGGGAGCCAAUCCCAUAAAGCCAUUCGUAGUCCGGAUCGCAGUCUGCAACUCGACUGCGUGAAGUCGGAAUCGCUAGUAAUCGUGGAUCAGAAUGUCACGGUGAAUACGUUCCCGGGUCUU
rnacentral:rRNA from 1 species